rfam:Hordeum vulgare subsp. vulgare, WGS project CAJW01000000 data, contig: morex_contig_38539
UAUAUACUCUAUCCGUCCGAAAAUACUUGUAAUGGAAAUGAAUAUAUCUAGAUGUAUUUUUGUUUUAGAUACAUUCAUUUUUAUCUAUUUGUAUGACAAGUAAUUCCGGACGAAGGGAGUAAAAC